rnacentral:rRNA from 1 species
CCCUUAGAUGUCCUGGGCUGCACGCGCGCUACACUGGAAGUUACGGAUUGAGAUACUACCUUGUCCGAAAUGGUCCGGGUAAUCACCUAAAAGCUUGUCAUAAUUGGAAUGGAUUAUUGUAACUAGUAAUCCUGAACGAGGAAUUCCUAGUAAGUCCCAGUCAACAGCUGGUACUGAUUACGUCCCUGCCCUUUGUACACACCGCCCGUCGCUACUACUAAUUGGACGUUUAAGCAAGAUUUUUAAACACUGACAGUGUGUAGUUCACGCUAUACUACAGUGAGAAGAAGAAGAUCGAGCUUACUUGUCUAGAGGAAGUAAAAGUCGUAACA